UGCCCCAUGGCUGAGUUGGUUACAGCGUCCGACUGUUAGGACCAUUGCCGGAGCUUUGACAACGAAGGCACCAGUCAGAAAGAUAAUCGGAAGGUCGUGAGUUCGAGCCUCACUGGGGCAG